rnacentral:rRNA from 1 species
CCUACGGGAGGCAGCAGUGGGGAAUAUUGGACAAUGGGGGCAACCCUGAUCCAGCAAUGCCGCGUGUGUGAGGAAGGCCUGCGGGUUGUAAAGCACUUUCAGUAGAGAAGAAAUGCCUGGGGUUAAUAACUCCGGGUCUUGACGUAACCUACAGAAGAAGCACCGGCUAACUCCGUGCCAGCAGCCGCGGUAAUACGGAGGGUGCGAGCGUUAAUCGGAAUUACUGGGCGUAAAGCGCGCGUAGGCGGCUAGGUCAGUCGGAUGUGAAAGCCCCGGGCUCAACCUGGGAAUUGCAUUCGAAACUGCCUGGCUAGAGUAUGGGAGAGGGAAGCGGAAUUUCCGGUGUAGCGGUGAAAUGCGUAGAUAUCGGAAGGAACACCAGUGGCGAAGGCGGCUUCCUGGCCCAAUACUGACGCUCAGGUGCGAAAGCGUGGGUAGCGAACAGGAUUAGAUACCCUGGUAGUCCACGCCGUAAACGAUGAGAACUAGAUGUCGGGAGGAUUGACCUUUCGGUGUCGCAGCUAACGCAUUAAGUUCUCCGCCUGGGGAGUACGCCGGCAACGGUAAAACUCAAAGGAAUUGACGGG